rnacentral:antisense_RNA from 1 species
UGCAGAGAAGGCAGGGUGGCUAGGAAUGGCUCUAGUAGAAUUCUCCCCUUAUCUUGUCUGGAAACAAGGGGCAAAGAGCUAUCUAUUUCCUCCUGCCAGCCUCCUGCCCCCAACAGGAUUCCUCACAUCCCAGGACCAGCUGGAAAAGGUGGUGAGAGUUGGAAAGAGACUGCUCAGUGAGGACUGCCCUGCGAACCAGCUUGGAUUCAUCCCGUUCACCUCCACGUUCUGCACGCGGGGCCGAGGGAAGGGAGGCAGCCCAGGCAGCUAGAGAACUUGAUGAAACACACUCAAUCUGAAUCUCGCUUGAUCGUCAUGCUGACCCAGUGAGGGUCAGGCAUCCUUUCCGACUACUCGCUCAGCAGCGGAUCCCCACCCGCCUCUGACUCCCAGUGUCUUUCGGCUCCAACGUAAGUUCACCGAACGUCUAAGAGCUGAGGAUUCAAAGGCAUGUUAAGACCGCCCCUGCCCUCAGCUGCAAGACCUGUCCGCGAUCCUACGAGCCCCAUUCCGCCCUCUUUCCCCGACCUUGGUCCCCCAUGGGCCCUACAACCAGGUCCCCGACUGACACCUUGACCAGCGAACACAGCAAACAGGCCCGCAGAUGCCGCAGGUCCUUCGGCACCGUCUCCAGGGCCAUCUUCGCCGAUGGGAAGAACAACAGGGAGCUAGACGACCACAGCCUGUGCACCCGCAGGAAGUAAAUAGCUCGUUACCCAGAAUGCCCACCACUUCCGGCGCUUAGACUUCCUCUUCCGGUGUGGGCGGGCGCCAGCUCCGCCCCUACCCCCGCCAGAGGAGAUGGUUUCUCCCACCGGCAGGCGGGGAGGCUGGGCGGCCGGCCGCCACCUGGGCCGGGGCGCGUCGCAGCCACCUGAGCCCGCCGAGGGCGCGGCGGAGGCUGUGUAGGGUAGUCAGCGGGCCCCCGGGGCGGGGGGGCGGCUGCGCUUGCGCGGGAGUGUGUCGGGCUGAGCCGCAGCGCCGAGACGCGGGCUGUUUGAUCUGGGCUGGUGGCCCUGGGCGCCGGUCCUGUUCCCCGAUGGUAACCCGAAGUUUGUUUUUUUUUUGUUUUGUCUCCCCGUUUUAGAAGCAUUGGGGGCAGUGAAUCCACUGUCUCCCUCUGGAUUGUCUCUGCAGAGACCGAGAAGAAAUCCAGGGACAGCCCCACCCCUCCUUCCUAACUGCGAGAGCGCUAUAGGGUUUCCACUUGCUUCCCACAGGAAUGCUGGCCUGGGAGCUACGGCGGAAAAAAAUGCGUAUUUAUCUUUUAAAACUCCGUCUGUUUGCUCGUUCCGGCUGAUAAUUUAUACUUUGCGCAGUUCUUAGCGCUUAGACACGGUUCCUUUACUAAAGACCAUUUGUAGGAGAUUAGGUGUCCUUUUUUUCCCUUUCAUUUCACCGUCUAGGAAGCGAAAUGCCUUGUUCUAUAGGCACCAAACCACCACCCCUACCAAACCUUUCUCGGGGAAGCAGAAGGGGAACUUGUGCCUUGUGAGGAAGCGACAAAGGCCCCUUCUGGCCCUGGAGACUUCACGCCAAUGGAGCACCAGCUCUCUGUCCUCGCAAUAGCCCGAGUGCAGGCAGAACGCAGUCAUUUGUGUUUAUCUGAGAGGAGCUUUGGGAUAUAAAUAGUUUCAGGCCCCGCUGCUCUGUCAUUCCAGCCCAGCCUCCUGAUUGAGCUGCUUCCGGGCGGGCUUGCUUCUUGUUGGCGGUCCCAUGCUGUGUUCAGAUGGGCUCUGUGACAGGUUUGGAUGUUUUCUAUCACUGAAUAAAACUUUCCACUUUGGAACAUG